UACGGAGGGUGCGAGCGUUGUCCGGAAUCAUUGGGCGUAAAGGGCGCGUAGGUGGCCCGGUCAGUUCGUGGUGAAAGCGCGGGGCUCAACCCUGCGUCGGCCAUGAAUACUGCCGCGGCUGGAGCACUGUAGAGGCAGGCGGAAUUCCGGGUGUAGCGGUGGAAUGCGUAGAGAUCCGGAAGAACACCGGUGGCGAAGGCGGCCUGCUGGGCAGUUGCUGGACACUGAGGCGCGACAGCGUGGGGAGCAAACAGGGAUUAGAAACCC
rnacentral:rRNA from 1 species